CCUACGUGAGGCAGCAGUGGGGAAUAUUGGGCAAUGGGCGCAAGCCUGACCCAGCAACGCCGCGUGAGGGAAGAAGGCCCUCGGGUUGUAAACUUCUUUUAUUCGGGACGAACCAAAUGACGGUACCGAAUGAAUAAGCCACGGCUAACUCCGUGCCAGCAGCCGAGGUAAUACGUAGGUGGCAAGCGUUAUCCGGAUUUACUGGGUGUAAAGGGCUGGGAGGCGGGAGAGCAAGUCAGACGUGACAUUCCAGGGCGCAACCCUGGAACUGCGUUUGAAACUGUUCUUCUUGGGUGAUGGAGAGGCAGGCGGAAUUCCGGGUGUAGCGGUGAAAUGCGUAGAUAUACGGAGGAACACCAGUGGCGAAGGCGGCCUGCUGGACAUUAACUGACGCUGAGGCGCGAAAGCGUGGGGAGCAAACAGGAUUAGAUACCCGUGUAGUC
rnacentral:rRNA from 1 species